CGGGGUGAGUAACACGUGGGUAACCUGCCCGGAAGUGGGGAAUACCUCGGGGAAACUCGAGCUAAUACCGCAUGACAUCUUUGGGACGAAAGUCCUGACGAUCAAGGCGGGGUCGCAAGAUCUCGCGCUACCGGAUGGGCCCGCGCCCGAUUAGCUAGUUGGUGAGGUAACGGCUCACCAAGGCUUCGAUCGGUAACCGGCCUGAGAGGGCGAUCGGUCACACCGGAACUGAGACACGGUCCGG
rnacentral:rRNA from 1 species